rnacentral:rRNA from 1 species
UACGAAGGGGGCUAGCGUUGCUUCGGAAUCACUGGGCGUAAAGCGCACGUAGGCGGAUUGUUAAGUCAGGGGUGAAAUCCUGGAGCUCAACUCCAGAACUGCCUUUGAUACUGGCGAUCUCGAGUCCGGGAGAGGUGAGUGGAACUGCGAGUGUAGAGGUGAAAUUCGUAGAUAUUCGCAAGAACACCAGUGGCGAAGGCGGACUCACUG